ensembl:lncRNA
UUUUUUUUUUUUUUUUUUUGGUGGCGCCCAUGGCAUGGGGAACUCACUGGGCCAGCCAUCAAACCCGAGCCACGGCAGUGACCUGAGCCGCCGCAGUGACAAUGCAAGGCCUUAACCCGUAGAGCCGCAAGGACACUCAGCAUGAUGAGACCACGGCUUCCAAAGUCACCUGUGACCUAAAGUGAGAAAUAGGUUUUAGGUGACACUUCCAUUUGCAUCCGCUGUGUGUAACUGAAACACAGGUUUAGCGAACCCGUCUACCCUGUCUUGUCCCCUGAUCUGGUCCUUUCUGUUCUGGUCUAUUAGAUUUUUUUCAAAAAUUGCUUGCUGCGACCCACUAAAUUGAUUUCACCAGCCACUAAUAGGUCCUACAGAGGGUUUGGAAAAAACAGGCCUAGAAAAUGAUCCUGCCUCGGAGUUCCUGUUGUGGCGCAGCGGAAACGCAUCCGACUAGGAUCCGUGAGGUUGUGGGUUCCAUCCCCGGCCUCGCUCAGUGGGUCAAGGAUCCAGCGUUGCCGUGAGCGGUGGUGGAGGCUGGUAACUGUAGCUCCGAUGGGACUCCUAGUUUGGGAACCUCCACAGGCCGCGGGUGCAGCCCUAAAAAGCAAGAAAAAGAAAGAAAAUGAUCCUGCCUUCCAUUCUUUCGGUAAACGUUCAUUGAGGCCCUGACGGUUUCUGUUUUUCAGUUAUUCAGGUAACGCAUGGAUUUGUUCUCAUUGUGAAAAAUGAAAACAACCCAGAAGCACAUGGAAUAAAAGCACAAGGCAACGCCGUGAGCCGGCUUGCUGGGCCUUUGUGUGUCCGUGCAUCACACAUCCAAAGACAUGGUUCCUUUUUGUCCCAGGUGACACCACACCCGGGGCUCUCAGGCCUCAGCCCCCCUUCUCCUCGCCUGUCGUCUUGGGGAGGCCAUUGGGGACUCCUGGCUGGGCCAUUGAACGAGUUAUUCCCUCUCUGGGCCUGAGUGUGCCAUGUGUACACCGGGUCCAGCCAUGGAAACCUACGAAGCCGAGAGAAGUCUUUGUCCCUGGAGUCCCCGUCGUGGCGCCGCCGCCGCAGCAGCGCAUCUGACCAGGAACCAUGAGGUUGUGGCUUUGAUCCCUCAGUGGGUUAAGGAUCCGGUGUUGCGGCCCUAAAAAGCAAAAAAGAAAGCGUUUGUCCCAAUUAGUGCCAGCUGCCGCUGUCACCAUUAUUCUUGCCACUGUCUUUCCAUGGCAGUCCACGUUGGCACCUCGUUGCUUUAAUAGCGGCCUGGCGCCGGGCUGUGCAGGCAGGGGCAGGGGGAGCCCUGCAUGCAGGGCAGCGUUUCUGCGGGAGGGGCACCUGGGCUCCCUGGCCCCCCAGGUUGUUUGCAAGGGCCACCGUUUUGGAGUCCGGUGCUUAAUGCACCUGCCUGCAAGGUCACAGCCUAGCAGGGGACUGAGACCCAGAUGGCACCGAGGGGACGAGUGGGAGCUCGUGCCAGGUCUUGGCAGGAAGCAGGUCCUCCUGUGGAAGUGCUGGCGGCUAUGCGGUGGGGACCUGGCCACCCAAAGAGGAGCAGAGGGGACCUUGCGGGUCAGUUCUGGAAUGGGUGGGACACGUGACCUGAGCUUUAGGAUCCAGGGGUGCGUGUGCCCGUUCUUGGCCUGGGUUGGGGCUCUGUGGAGGCGGGGCUUCGUGGUGCGGGGCUGGCAGCACAGGUAGGUGAGAACAAGGGGCCUGCCUGGCCGAGGGAAGCGGCAACGAAGGAUAUGGCCUGUGUCCCUCGGCCAAGAGGGAGGCGUGGGCUCUGGAAGAAUGGUGGUGGUGGCGGGAGAGGCAGGCUGAGGCCUGGGCCUCCUCCUGGCCUCCCUGCCUCCGUGCUGCCCCCUCCCUGUGUGGGUCACACUGCAGAGGGAUGUUUCUCAGGCCCCCAGCAACCCUCCAGGGCCCCCGCUGCCCUCUGAAGGGAGGUCCGGCCGCCGGGGCCUGUUCCGCCCCCAGCCAGGCCCCUUCCCCUCCUGCUGCAGCAGAGCCCCGGACUGCCUGCCUCGGUGCCUUUGCCCGCGCCGCCCCUUCCACCUGGGCUGCCUCCCGAGACCGAGACAGACGUCCUGUCUCCUCCUCCUCUGACCUCCACGGUAGAAUUGAGUCAUCCCCCUCUGUCUAGGCUGAGGCUCGGCGUUUGUCACCAAAUUCCGACAGCGUCUGUUCUCCCCGGGAGGCCAGAGCCUCCUCCCUGCGGCCCCUGCUCCAAGGGCAAGGCCGGGGCCUCGGGGUGCCCCCUGGUCCUCCUGGCAGGAAGGGCCAGACGAGGAGGAGGAGGAGAUGGGGCGCGGCUUCUGGGGCCCCUGUCGGAUCUUGGUGAUUCUGGGGGCGCCCUCAGGGGGCCGUGUCUGUCCGUGGCCCCAGGCUGCUGCCUGUGGGGGCCGAGGAGAAACUGGCUGGUCCUGUUUCCCCGCGGAUUGAGGCAGAACUGUGCCCUGCGCCUGGGCGGGUCACUGGGAUCUGAGACUGGAAUGUGACACCAGAGUGGGUGCCAGGGGCUGGCGGCGCAGGCGGGCUCUGCUGCCAGAGAGCUUUUGCUCUGCUGGUUCUAGAAUCCGUGUGAAUAGCGUGCGUGCGUGUGUGUGAGGGGACCCGGGGUGGGGGCAGAGGGAGGCGGGAGGAGAGAGGGACGCGGGCAAGGGCGUGGGAAGGGAAGGAUGGGGGCGGUGGGCAGCAGCCCCAGGCCUCCCUCCCCCAGCAGACACUCUCCACCAGGCUCCCCUCCCGGCCCUGGGCUCGUGGGGCCCAGCGAUGGAUGAGAUGCUGGGAGCCGGGGGACCGGGGAUGUCCAGUGGGGAAGGGGCCCAGUGGGGGCGCUGGGGGGUCCCUCCACCGCACGGGCUGCUUUUCCUCCGGGGUCCCCUGCCUGGAGGCUGGGCCUCGGUCCGGGCGGGACGGGGAGCAGUGGAGCAGCCCUGGGUUUGGAGUCAGGACAGGGUUUGCGGCGCAGCCGCUGCCUUGGGAAAGGCUCUGCCCCUUGGGCACGUCAUUCCCCCCCCCGCCGCCGCCCCGUCGGAACGGGGUCCGUCGUGGCUGUGAGAUGCUGGCUGUGAGAUGCGACUCGGGAGCUGGAAAGCCCUGAGCGUGGCGUCAGAACCUCGGGCCGGCCCGCGAUCAAACCCGGGUGCUGCCAUCCUCUCAGGGCCCCGGCCCCGCGCCUUUCGCAUGGGCCCAGCCUCGGCCCCCUCCUGGCUGCCGGCGCGGGGGCUCCGCAGAUGAGGCCGAAGGACAUUGCAGGAGGAGGUCGCUGUUCCCGCUCCGCUCCAGCCUCCUUGCAAUGCCAGCGGCCUCAGCAAGGCGCGUGGGGCCUGUUCCGUGCCCAGCCAGGCGGAGGUGCUGGAUUUCGUGGGGCUUGGUUACCCAGGGGGCAGGUGAGAAUUCGUUCUCUGGGAGUUCCUGACGUGGCGCAGUGGUGAGCAAAUCUGACGAGGAACCAUGAGCUGGCGGGUUCGAUCCCUGGCCUUGCUCAGUGGGUUCAGGAUCCAGCGUUGCCGUGAGCUGUGGUGUAGGUCACGGAUACGGCUCGGAUCCUUUGUUGCUGUGGCCUGCGGUGUAGGCAGGCGGCAGUGGCUCCGAUUCGACCCCUGGCCUGGGAACCUCCACAUGCCGUACGAGUGGCCCAAGACAUGGCAAAAGGACAAAAGAAAAAAAGAAAAUUCGUUCUCUGGCCCGGGUUUCUGCCCCAGAGGGGCUUUGCCAGGGUGUUGUGGGUGGACUCGAGGGCCGGCAUAAGGAGAAAUCACUCAUUUCUUGGUGCGUUUUGUUCAUCAAUCCCGUCCGGGGUCCGCACUGCGCGCGCAAGGGUCUGGCCCACAGCGGUGACAGGCGCCGUUUCUAACGCAGCAGAGGGGAUGCGGCGGCGGCGUGUGUCUCGGAGGUCCCUGCCUGAGUUCCCACCCUGCUUCUGGCACUUGCGUCGUUCCUCUGAGCGAGGUAGGCAGCGCCUGUUUGCACGGCCACCCAGAAGCCCUGGGACGGGCCAGGGGACGGCCCCUCCUGUCCUCCUUAUUCCUGCCCGGGAGAGUCACUGCCCGCUCGCUCGGCGCUGGGGCAGGUCCCUAGGCCCGUGCAGCCAGGACCCUCCUGGGGAAGAGGGGUGACACCCGGGAAGGGAGUGGCGGACCUUCCGCGGAGCCCUGGCUGGGGGUCUCUGCCGCAGGAGCCACGUGGGUGAGGCCUGUCCACCUGGGAAGGUCUAACUGCCUGGCAGCAGGGGGGCUUCAGGCGGCAAAAAAGGAAUUUCCGUAUCGAGAAAUGAGGCAUUUUGGAGUUCCCGUUGUGGCUUGUGGAAAUGAACCUGACUGGUAUCCGAGAGGAUGCGGGCUCCAUCCCUGGCCCCAAGCAGCGGGUUAAGGAUCCGG